AACGAACGCUGGCGGCAUGCCUAACACAUGCAAGUCGAACGAGACCUUCGGGUCUAGUGGCGCACGGGUGCGUAACGCGUGGGAACUUGCCCUUAGGUUCGGAAUAACUCCCCGAAAGGGGUGCUAAUACCGGAUAAUGUCUUCGGACCAAAGAUUUAUCGCCUUUGGAUGGGCCCGCGUUGGAUUAGCUAGUUGGUAGGGUAAAAGCCUACCAAGGCGACGAUCCAUAGCUGGUCUGAGGGGAUGAUCAGCCACACUGGGACUGAGACACGGCCCAGACUCCUACGGGAGGCAGCAGUGGGGAAUAUUGGACAAUGGGCGAAAGCCUGAUCCAGCAAUGCCGCGUGAGUGAUGAAGGCCUUAGGGUUGUAAAGCUCUUUUACCCGGGAUGAUAAUGACAGUACCGGGAGAAUAAGCUCCGGCUAACUCCGUG
rnacentral:rRNA from 1 species